GACGUAGGGCGCGAGCGUUGUCCGGAUUUAUUGGGCGUAAAGAGCUCGUAGGCGGCUUGUUGCGUCGGCUGUGAAAUCCCGUGGCUUAACUGCGGGCUUGCAGCCGAUACGGGCGGGCUAGAGUUCGGUAGGGGAGACUGGAAUUCCUGGUGUAGCGGUGAAAUGCGCAGAUAUCAGGAGGAACACCGGUGGCGAAGGCGGGUCUCUGGGACGGUACUGACACUGAGACGCGAAAGCGUGGGGAGCGAACAGG
rnacentral:rRNA from 1 species